GUCUCAGCUCGGAUUGGAGUCUGCAACCCGACUCCAUGAAGCUGGAUUCGCUAGUAAUCGCGCAUCAGCCACGGCGCGGUGAAUACGUUCCCGGGCCUUGUACACACCGCCCGUCAAGCCAUGGAAGCCGGGGGUGCCUGAAGUGCGCUGCCGCAAGGAGCGCCCUAGGGUAAAACCGGUGACUGGGGCUAAGUCGUAACAAGGUAGC
rnacentral:rRNA from 1 species